CCUUCCCCCAAUUUCACCCAAGGCCUCAGACCUGAAUGUCAUUAACUGAGAAAAGUCACGUGUUUAUUGUUUAACCAGUCACUGGAAGAUGGAAGCACCCAGUCAUGGGUUGAGGAAAGGGUUAGCCUAGGGCUGAGGAAAGGGCUGGCCUCAUGGACACACACAGACUUAAAAUGGAGAUGAGGUGAUUCCUGAAGCAAAAAGGGGCACACUGGCACAGGACACUAAAAAUUGUCUUCUACAAGGCCCUCUGUGACAUCACUGGCUAUUGCACAAUGACCUGUUGGGCUCCCUUUGGCCACAGCCUCUGUUCUUCCCCCCCAGCCCCACCUCCAGUGUUCUGAAGCUGAAGACAGACCUGUGACAUUCACCUUCCCCAACUAGUCCUAGAAAAAGAGGCAAAACUCCCUGGAAAGAGUCCCAACUUCUGGAUUGUUAGACUUGAUGCAAAUGGAUUACAAGUUCCUGAGAUACUGAUUCCUCAACUCUGUAGAGCUGAUGCUGCCAAAGGUUCCAGGGCCCCUUGCCUCUGAUU
rnacentral:lncRNA from 12 species